rnacentral:rRNA from 1 species
AUUGAACGCUGGCGGCAGGCCUAACACAUGCAAGUCGAGCGAGAGGCGGACGGGUGAGUAAGGUAUGGGGACUGCACGAGAGAGAGGGAUAACUACUGGAAACGGUGGCUAAUACCGCAGACUAUCGGAGAACCCAGAUGGGAUUAGCAAGUAGGUGAGGUAAUGGCUCACGUAGGUGAGGAGCCCUAGAUGGUCUGAGAGGAUGAUCAGCCACACGGCGGCUGAGACAGGGCCCAGACUCCUAAGGGGGCAGCAGUGGAGACUAUUGCACGAGGGGCGCAAGCCUGAUGCAGCCAUACGGCGGGUAUGAAGAAGGCCCUAGGGUUUUAAAGGACUUUCAGUCGGGAUGCGUUACCGACAGAAGAAGCACCGGCUAACUCCGUGCCAGCAGCCGCGGUAAUUC